GUGUAUAUUAUACUUUGAAACAUUACAGAGAUACUUCACAUUUCUUCUGAACAGGUAGGUGAAUAGUAACUUGAAGACUAUUGUAAGCUUUCUCAGAAGACUUUCUCAGGCUCUUCAGACAAUUUUGUGCUUUUUGCCAAUUAUUGUGAGCCGAACAUGCCGAACGACGCAGAAAUGGAAGUUGAUGAUGGGACAACUAAGGAUUGGAAAAACUGGGACCAGCUUUCUCUUCAUUCCUUUACUGAUGAAGAUUUUCUGGUAAGUCUGUGCAUAGUGAUAACUGAAAUGGAUGUAACAAUAUGAUACAAGUUUGUAUGAACUUAAACUUUAAUGGUUAAGCAGCAAACAUGGUCGAAUACCUCUGAGUGACUGUGUCUCUAAUAUAGGAACUGGAACGUGGUGGAAACACUCGCCGACAGACCGUAGAUUAUGAUGACCUCUCUCUGUGUUCAGUCAGCGAGACAGAUUUUCUGGUCAGUUUGUGCAUCAAAAGCAUCAAUGUAGAUUACAUUUUGAAGAUAGACUGUGUGAACAAUAUGUUCCCCAUCCAACCCACAGUCUGAUGAGGACCGUGACCACCAGGAGAAUCCACUUCCGGAUAAAAGCCUGGUAUGUGUAUGUGUCUGACAAAAGGUCAAUUAAUUGGCCUGUUUUUCUGUUAGUGCUGAAUCAGCUUUUCCCUCACCAUAUGGAUCUUUACUUUUGAACAUUUUCUCUCUGCCCUG